GCCGAAGUGGCGGAAUAGGUAGACGCGUUGGUCUCAAAAACCAAUGAGGUAACACUCGUACCGGUUCGAUCCCGGUCUUCGGUACCA
rnacentral:tRNA from 1 species